UACGUAGGGUGCGAGCGUUGUCCGGAAUUAUUGGGCGUAAAGAGCUCGUAGGCGGUCUGUCGCGUCGAUCGUGAAAACUCGGGGCUUAACUCCGGGCCUGCAGUGGGUACGGGCUGACUAGAGUGCGGUAGGGGAGACUGGAAUUCCUGGUGUAGCGGUGAAAUGCGCAGAUAUCAGGAAGAACACCUAUGGCGAAGGCAGCUCUCUGGGACGGUACUGACGCUGAGACGCGAAAGCGUGGGGAGCGAACAGG
rnacentral:rRNA from 1 species